AGUGAACGCUGGCGGUAGGCCUAACACAUGCAAGUCGAACGGCAGCACAGUAAGAGCUUGCUCUUACGGGUGGCGAGUGGCGGACGGGUGAGGAAUACAUCGGAAUCUACUUUUUCGUGGGGGAUAACGUAGGGAAACUUACGCUAAUACCGCAUACGACCUACGGGUGAAAGCAGGGGAUCUUCGGACCUUGCGCGACUGAAUGAGCCGAUGUCGGAUUAGCUAGUUGGCGGGGUAAAGGCCCACCAAGGCGACGAUCCGUAGCUGGUCUGAGAGGAGGAUCAGCCACACUGGAACUGAGACACGGUCCAGACUCCUACGGGAGGCAGAAGUGGGGAAUAUUGGACAAUGGGCGCAAGCCUGAUCCAGCCAUACCGCGUGGGUGAAGAAGGCCUUCGGGUUGUAAAGCCCUUUUGUUGGGAAAGAAAAGCAGCAGGUUAAUACCACGCUGUUCUGACGGUACCCAAAGAAUAAGCACCGGCUAACUUCGUG
rnacentral:rRNA from 1 species